AUUUUCCAAGCCUCUCUACUCGUAAUCUCAUCCACCCACUUACGCACUUUAGAUCUUUUUUCGAACAAUUUCUUCGUUGGAGUUCCCAAAAGGGACUUGACCAAAUGGCUGCAUCAAUAACACAUUGUUAAAACUCGAAAUCCUUGGGUGACAAGUAACCAAGACAAGCCCUAGAGAGAGGAAAGGUUCGGUUUUGUGUUCACCGGUUUGCAAUUUGACGGUAAUAGGCUCGUAAGAGAGUCUUUUCUCAUGGAGAACAGCGAGGACACGCCUUGUGUUGGUGGAGAAAGGAUCGCCAUGAACCUUGUAACCUGCAACUUUGAAUCAUAGAACAAAUUUCACUGAAAUCAAAAUUAUCUUAAUUUUUGUUUGUUUGUUAUAAACCUAUAUAUUAAUUAAUCUUACCGAGCUUUUUAACUUCU